CUGGCCAUGCAUCUCUCAGGAUCUGAAGCAGUACUGCCAGAUGUAUGCCAGAGAGUGGGGAAGAGAAGGAACCGGCACAGGGCCCCCCUCCAUACCCUACCUAUUAGUGAAGAUCCGUUCGCCUCCAUACCCUACCUAUUAGUGAAGAUCCGUUCGGCAGAGUAGCUGUCGACAAUAUAGUUGCACAGGCACUUUGACGUCCCCGUGGCGCCUUUGCAUUUGGAUGUCUACCCUAUCAACUUUCGAUGCCAGUUUCUGCGCUGACCAUGGGUAACGGGGAAUCAUGGUUAGAUUCCAGAGAGGGAACCUGAGAAACUGCUACCACAUCCAAGGAAGGCAGCAGGCGCGCAAAUUACCCACUCCUGACGCGGGGAGGUAGUGA